rnacentral:rRNA from 1 species
CGCGUAGGUGGUUUGAUAAGCGAGAUGUGAAAGCCCCGGGCUUAACCUGGGAACGGCAUUUCGAACUGUCAGGCUAGAGUAUGGUAGAGGAGUGUGGAAUUUCCUGUGUAGCGGUGAAAUGCGUAGAUAUAGGAAGGAACACCAGUGGCGAAGGCGGCACUCUGGACCAAUACUGGCACUGAGGUGCGAAAGCGUGGGGAGCAAACA